rnacentral:rRNA from 1 species
CCUACGGGAGGCAGCAGUGAGGAAUAUUGGUCAAUGGGCGGAAGCCUGAACCAGCCAAGUAGCGUGCAGGAUGACGGCCCUACGGGUUGUAAACUGCUUUUAUACGGGAAUAACGCGCCUUACGUGUAGGGCUUUGCAUGUACCGUAUGAAUAAGGACCGGCUAAUUCCGUGCCAGCAGCCGCGGUAAUACGGAAGGUCCGAGCGUUAUCCGGAUUUAUUGGGUUUAAAGGGAGCGUAGGCGGGAUGUUAAGCGUGUUGUGAAAUGUUCGGGCUCAACCGGGGACUUGCAAUGUGUACUGGCGUGCUUGAGUCCGCGGAAAGCAGGCGGAAUUCGUCGUGUAGCGGUGAAAUGCUUAGAUAUGACGAAGAACCCCGAUUGCGAAGGCAGCUUGCUGCAGCGGAACUGACGCUGAUGCUCGAAAGUGCGGGUAUCGAACAGGAUUAGAUACCCUAGUAGUC